rnacentral:rRNA from 1 species
AGUGAACGCUGGCGGUAGGCCUAACACAUGCAAGUCGAACGGUAGCACAGUAAGAGCUUGCUCUUACGGGUGGCGAGUGGCGGACGGGUGAGGAAUACAUCGGAAUCUACUUUUUCGUGGGGGAUAACGUAGGGAAACUUACGCUAAUACCGCAUACGACCUACGGGUGAAAGCAGGGGAUCUUCGGACCUUGCGCGAUUGAAUGAGCCGAUGUCGGAUUAGCUAGUUGGCGGGGUAAAGGCCCACCAAGGCGACGAUCCGUAGCUAGUCUGAGAGGAUGAUCAGCCACACUGGAACUGAGACACGGUCCAGACUCCUACGGGAGGCAGCAGUGGGGAAUAUUGGACAAUGGGCGCAAGCCUGAUCCAGCCAUACCGCGUGGGUGAAGAAGGCCUUCGGGUUGUAAAGCCCUUUUGUUGGGAAAGAAAAGCAGCAGGUUAAUACCCCGCUGUUCUGACGGUACCCAAAGAAUAAGCACCGGCUAACUUCGUG